rnacentral:rRNA from 1 species
UUCCUACGGGAGGCAGCAGUGGGGGAUAUUGCACGAUGGGGGGAACCCUGAUGCAGCGACGCCGCGUGGGUGAAGGAGCGUUUCGGCGCGUAAAGCUCUAUCAGCAGGGAAGAAAAUGACGGUACCUGACUAAGAAGCCCCGGCUAAAUACGUGCCAGCAGCCGCGGUAAUACGUAUGGGGCAAGCGUUAUCCGGAUUUACUGGGUGUAAAGGGAGCGCAGGCGGCUUGGCAAGUCUGAUGUGAAAGGCUGGGGCUCAACCCCAGGACUGCAUUGGAAACUGUUAGGCUGGAGUGUCG